UGUUUUUAACCUGAAAGGACUCGAGAGCUCAGUAUUUGUUAACUUGGAAACUAAAGGAGGGAGGAAGGCUUGAAGUAGCAUAGCAUUCACUCCCAGUUGGGGAAUUUAGAAAGACCUGGCGACCAGCAGAGCACCGGAAAAGCCUGUGUGUUUAUGUUGAAGGAUGUUUAGGAGUGCUCAAUUUGUGACGUCAGCAUGCCUACUGGGGACCCAUAGAUCACUGUGUGGGACACUCAACAGCUCCAAGAAGAAAAAUCUUGGUGAGAGAGUGUGUAACAGCCUCCUCUCCCAGCCAUUUUGUAUGGUCAGUAGCGAGAGAGGACCACAGAAGAAACAUCAUUAUAUAUCUGAGCCAAAGAACAGUAAAAAUGUUUCACAAAAAACACUUAAAAAACUGUUUUCUUGCCUUGUUAACACAAGCUGCUCUGUCAGUCCUGCAGACACUACUGACUUCCUAUCAGUGUGUAAAAUAAAUAUCUCAGUACAGCACUGUUCAAAUAGCACUUUUUCAGAUCAUUUCAUCCUCGGGGACUGUGUUCCUAACAAGUGCCUACUACCUGAAAACUAUAAAGGAAAACACAGACGUUGUGUGGAUAAGUGGAGAGCAGAUCCAAACAGCAGCAGUAAAAGUCAGAAGAGCUACCGUAAUGCAGGGAUCAUGUCCUUCACUGAGUCAUAUGUGUUUAAUAAAGGGUUCUGGACUUCCUUUCAAGAGAGAUGGAGCCAACAUGGACCUAUGAAAUCCCAAGUGUGUGGUUUGCACAGGAGAGUCCCACAGCAGGCUGCUUUUGAAGACUGUCUGUCAGCUGAAAAUGAGGAGCGCUGCAGAGUCCGACUGCAGUCCAACACUGCACUGUAUGAGAAGCAGAGAGGGAAGAGCUGGGCAGCUGUGCUUGUGUCUCUGUGCACAGUAGGGGGAGAACCUGCCUUACUUUUCACCCUAAGAUCUAGCAAAUUGAGGGGAAGACACAAAGGUGAUGUCAGUUUUGCAGGGGGAAAGCAAGACCCCUCUGAUAGAAACUUUGUGGAAACAGCACUGCGGGAAGCUAGGGAAGAAUUGGGGAUAAGCGUGACUGAAAAUGAUGUGUGGGGGGUUUUGAAGCCACUGAAUGAUAAGGUUAGGGGACGUGGCCAUGACUGUACCGUGUAGACUAGGGAGGUCACGAGAACCGAUACUUCGGUACCAAGUCGGUACCAUCCAUCCAUCUUCUUCCGCUUACUCCUUUUCAGGGUCACAGGGAAACCUGGAGCCUAUCCCAGAGAGCAUCGGGCACAAGGCAGGGUACACCCUGGACAGGGUGCCAAUCCAAGUCUGUACCAACAUUCUUAAAACGUGACGUCAGGAAUGAUGAUUGCUCCUGUGUUAGCUAACCUUGGGCCACUAGAGACUCUAACACUGCGUCCCAAUCCGGGUGAGGUAAAUAAUGUAGUUGAAAUAUUUGUCUUCUGAUGAUGAUGAUGAUGAUGAUUGCUUGGCGUGCUUCACUUGUCUUCUGUGUCCCAAAGGUGGAGGAGAUCUUCACCCUGACUGUUGCCCAUUUAUGCAACCCUCAGAACCGAGGAUAUACAAAUUUUCGCACUGGUAAUAGCUAUGUAUAUACUCUUCCUGUGUUUCACAGUGAUAAGUAUAGAAUCUGGGGCCUGACCGC